rnacentral:ncRNA from 2 species
UAUAGCCGUUAGGGGUGUUGUCCCAAUCUCGGGAUAGCUGAGAAAAAACCCUUAAACCUGAUCUGGAUAAUACUAGCGUAGGGAAACGGUGCUAAGAAUAA